GUGGUAAUGCCGGAUGCUCCGACUCCUCGCAUGGGGUGUCGGGAAAGAUUUCAUCGGUAUGGGAUGGGGUCGCGUCCUAUCAGGUAGUCGGCGGGGUAACGGCCCACCGAGCCUACGACGGGUAGCCGGCCUGAGAGGGCGACCGGCCACAUUGGGACUGAGAUACGGCCCAGACUCCUACGGGAGGCAGCAGUGGGGAAUAUUGCACAAUGGGCGCAAGCCUGAUGCAGCGACGCCGCGUGCGGGAUGACGGCCUUCGGGUUGUAAACCGCUUUUGAUCGGGAGCAAGCCUUCGGGUGAGUGUACCUUUCGAAUAAGCACCGGCUAACUACGUGCCAGCAGCCGCGGUAAUACGUAGGGUGCAAGCGUUAUCCGGAAUUAUUGGGCGUAAAGGGCUCGUAGGCGGUUCGUCGCGUCCGGUGUGAAAGUCCAUCGCUUAACGGUGGAUCUGCGCCGGGUACGGGCGGGCUGGAGUGCGGUAGGGGAGACUGGAAUUCCCGGUGUAACGGUGGAAUGUGUAGAUAUCGGAAA
rnacentral:rRNA from 1 species